UCCGUAGGUGAACCUGCGGAAGGAUCAUUAAAGAUUCGACCUUUUGGUCUAUCUCUCUUCAGCUGUGCGCUUAGGCUGCACGCUGUUGAACCUUUCACACCUGUGCACCAUUCGGUUGCGGUUUCGGCCGCUUCCGCUUUUACACAUACAACCACAGUCCAGAAUGUAAACACAAUAACAAAUAACAACUUUCAACAACGGAUCUCUUGGCUCUCGCAUCGAUGAAGAACGCAGCGAAAUGCGAUAAGUAAUGUGAAUUGCAGAAUUCAGUGAAUCAUCGAAUCUUUGAACGCACCUUGCGCUCUUUGGUAUUCCGAAGAGCAUGCCUGUUUGAGUGUCAUUAAAUUCUCAACCUCACCAGUUUUCUGAGGAGGCUUGGAUUUGGGGGUUUGUGCAGGCUGCCGCAGCGCGGUCUGCUCCCCUAAAAUGCAUUAGCGAGUUCAUACUGAGCUCCGUCUAUUGGUGUGAUAAUUAUCUACGCCGUGGAUUGGGUUUAGACUUGCUUCUAACCGUCCGCAAGGACAACUACUUGACAAUUUUGGACC
rnacentral:rRNA from 1 species